CGUAGGUGUCUGCAGCCAUGUGUAAAGCACGGUGGACGCUCUGUCAUUAUAGGGGGUUUCGUUAAAGUCGAUGGAAUUAUGAGCACAGGAAAGUACCAUCAGUGUAGGUUGCCUCAAAUCUUUUGCGCAGUGCACAGCUACUCAAAAAGCCACUUGAGGCUGGCUCCCCCUGCAGGUCAAUCGCCCAUGUUAAAAUGCCCAGCUUCAUUUUUUACGACUAAUUUCCCCUUCUAUGACGGCCACACAUCUUUGGAUAACUCCACCAUUUAAAUUUUAUCAAAGUUUAAAGUUGUGCUUUGACUUGCUGUAAAGUUACGUCCACUAACAGCUCCUCUAAGAAGUCUGUGCAGUAGUCUUAGUGUGUUUGUGUACUAUCUGAAAUCUAAAUACCAUGUAUCUGUAUCUGUGUGAUGCACUUGUGCAGCUUUUGGUUCUUGUCCAAAUGUGUUCAUUUCUCCUCCAAAAGACCAAAACAGUAAUGGCCAUAAUACUAGAAGGGAGAGCUCACAAACCACUAACUUCUGGGUGGCAUUAUAAUAGAUAUGAUAGAUAUGAUACCAUCCAUCCAUCCAUCCAUCCAUGAAUGAUACCUUCAUUUAAAAAAAAAAAAAAACAAUAGUAGGUCUUAGACUAUCAAUAAUUUACGAUUUCCCAAAUCUGUGUUAUCCAAGAAAUGGCUUCCCGUGUCUUUUUCUGUCCAACCAGUAGUCCAAACUGCAAAAAUCCUCAAUUUAGAGAGAAAAGCAAAGCAAAUCCUCCCACUGGAGAAGCUGGAAGAUGAUCAACCAGCCAGUAAAUUCACUGAUUAUUUGAGCUGUUGAAGCUCUACACCAGCACGGCAAACUGUGAAAGAAAGAAAUCUCAUGCAGCACCUCAUUUUUAGGUGAGUAUAACAUAACAUUCACCAACCCACUGGACCGUUCCACCUGAUCUCUGUUCAUUAACGUACCUCUAUUUAAACUUAACGAUGUACAUUUACAUUUUAAUUGGCAUAGCAUGCAUUUGUUUCAGCCUCAUUUAUCCAGCAGAAAUAGUCCCAUUUUUGUCGGACAGCACGUUCCCCUGUGGAGCCACACAGAGAGCUCCAGACCUGAGACAGGUUCCCUGCUUGAAACUAGGGCAGUGUGUCACACUGUUGCAUCACACCAUGAGGGAUUAAUGCCUUCUGCCAUAUCGGAUUUCAUCCAGCGCACGUUUUGGGCUGGCAUGAUAACAGCCUCCAUUAAAUCUAUCUAUCAUAACUUUAUACAAGUGUGUUUUUGGCAGAGAUGUUGGUGGUGGAGCUGUAAAUCUGGCUAAAUAUCAUUUUGGACAAAGAGCUGCAGAAUAUUUUCUUUAAGUAGUGCAAGCUUGCAGCUAGAAAAUAUGACCUCAAAAAAGAAAAACGAAGCCUCGAAACCACAAACUUACAUAAGCUUAAAAAAAAAGGAAAAAAAAGGAGUUUAAAUAAAAUACCUGAAGGUCCUUUCCGGCCAGCCUUAUCAUGGUGCCUCCCGGGCCCUUCUUUGGUUUCCAUCUGAGGUUCUGUGGUCUCAUCCUCUGUGGUCUCAGAGUCUGAAACAAAGAGAAGGAAAACACUAUGAGAUGAGACGGGAGGAGAAGGUGGAAAUCCAGCAAAGAGGAGCUGAGGUGGAGGGCGGGAAGAGGAGGCUGGAAACAACAAGAGAGCGCAGGUAGAAAAUGACUUUUCACAUUUGCUUAGCAGCAGACGUUUUGAUGGGUCACUGAAAAGAGCUGCGAAGAGCCCCCCCUCCCCUUCCUCCCCCC
ensembl:lncRNA